CCUACGGGUGGCAGCAGUGGGGAAUAUUGCACAAUGGGCGAAAGCCUGAUGCAGCAACGCCGCGUGAAGGAAGAAGGGUUUCGGCUCGUAAACUUCUAUCAACAGGGACGAACGAAAUGACGGUACAUGAAUAAGAAGCUCCGGCUAACUACGUACCAGCAGCCGCGGUAAUACGUAGGGGGAAAGCGUUAUCCGGAAUUACUGGGGGGAAAGGGUGAGUAGGCGGGAUGGUAAGCCAGAUGUGAAAGCCUUGGGCUUAACCCGAGGAAUGCAUUUGAAACUAGCAAGCUAGAGUACAGGAGAGGAAAGCGGAAUUCCUAGUGUAGCGGUGAAAUGCGUAGAUAUUAGGAAGAACACCAGUGGCGAAGGCGGCUAUCUGGACUGAAACUGACGCUGAGGCACGAAAGCGUGGGGAGCGAACAGGAUUAGAUACCCUGGUAGUC
rnacentral:rRNA from 1 species